GAAUAUUGGACAAUGGGCGAAAGCCUGAUCCAGCCAUGCCGCGUGUGUGAAGAAGGUCUUCGGAUUGUAAAGCACUUUAAGUUGGGAGGAAGGGUGGUAACUUAAUACGUUGCUAUUUUGACGUUACCGACAGAAUAAGCACCGGCUAACUCUGUGCCAGCAGCCGCGGUAAUACAGAGGGUGCGAGCGUUAAUCGGAAUUACUGGGCGUAAAGCGCACGUAGGUGGCGACGUAAGUCGGGUGUGAAAGCCCCGGGCUCAACCUGGGAAUUGCAUUCGAGACUGCAUUGCUGGAGUACGGAAGAGGAGGGCGGAAUUCCCGGUGUAGCGGUGAAAUGCGUAGAUAUCGGGAGGAACAUCAGUGGCGAAGGCGGCCCUCUGGUCCAGUACUGACACUCAAGUGCGAAAGCGUGGGGAGCAAACAGG
rnacentral:rRNA from 1 species